GAUCAACGCUGGCGGCGUGCCUAAUGCAUGCAAGUCGAGCGGGGUGACCUUCGGGUCACUUACGCGGCGGACGGGUGCGGAACACGUGGGCAACCUGCCCCGAGGUGGGGGAUAGCCGGUGGAAACACCGGGUAAUUCCGCAUACGGUCACAGACCGGAGGGUUUGUGAGGAAAGGGUCUUCGGACUCGCCUUGGGAGGGGCCUGCGGCCGAUUAGCUAGACGGUGGGGUAACGGCCUACCGUGGCGAUGAUCGGUAGCUGGUCUGAGAGGACGGCCAGCCACACGGGGACUGAGACACGGCCCCGACUCCUACGGGAGGCAGCAGCAAGGAAUCUUCCGCAAUGGGCGAAAGCCUGACGGAGCAACGCCGCGUGUGGGAUGACGCCUUUCGGGGUGUAAACCACUUUUCUCAGGGAAGAAAUCUUGACGGUACCUGAGGAAUAAGGACCGGCUAACUACGUGCCAGCCGCCGCAGUAACAC
rnacentral:rRNA from 1 species